GGUUGCGUUCGAACGCGCGGUCGGUUCGAUCGCUGCUUGCGCCCGCGAACUGCUCGAUUCACUGGAGACGUCUCAACCGCCUCGCGACCGC
rnacentral:tRNA from 1 species